UACGGAGGGGGCUAGCGUUGUUCGGAAUUACUGGGCGUAAAGCGCACGUAGGCGGCUUUGUAAGUUAGAGGUGAAAGCCCGGGGCUCAACUCCGGAAAUUGCCUUUAAGACUGCAUCGCUAGAAUUGUGGAGAGGUAAGUGGAAAUUCCGAGUGUAGAGGUGAAAAUUCGUAGAUAUUCGCAAGAACACCAGUGGCGAAGGCGGCUCACUGGCCCGAUACUGACGCUGAGGCACGAAAAGCGUGGGUAGCAAACAGG
rnacentral:rRNA from 1 species